rnacentral:rRNA from 1 species
GACGAACGCUGGCGGCGUGCUUAACACAUGCAAGUCGAACGGAAAGGCCCUGCUUGCAGGGUGCUCGAGUGGCGAACGGGUGAGUAACACGUGGGUGAUCUGCCCCUUACUUUGGGAUAAGCCUGGGAAACUGGGUCUAAUACUGGAUAGGACCAUGCUGUAGGUGGUGUGGUGGAAAGAUUAGUUUCGGUAAGGGAUGAGCUCGCGGCCUAUCAGCUUGUUGGUGGGGUAAUGGCCUACCAAGGCGUCGACGGGUAGCCGGCCUGAGAGGGUGGACGGCCAGAUUGGGACUGAGAUACGGCCCAGACGCCUACGGGAGGCAGCAGUGGGGAAUAUUGCACAAUGGGCGCAAGCCUGAUGCAGCGACGCCGCGUGGGGGAUGACGGCCUUCGGGUUGUAAACUCCUUUCAGCCAUGACGAAGCCCUUGUGGUGACGGUAGUGGUAGAAGAAGCACCGGCUAACUACGUG